UGAUCCGCAGCGGGAGAGUCCUUCCGCCACCAACCAGGCAGAAAGCGCCGUAGGAGCAAACCCUCCCCGGGAAUCUCUCAGGCACAUGUACCGCUGCGGCAAG
rnacentral:ncRNA from 2 species